AGAGGACUAAGGCAGCUCAGUGACCUAACCAUGCUGGUUCCCCACCUGAGAGUGGAAACUGAAGCCAUACAGUGAGGGAAACUGAGGCAGAAGAUGGGCCAGAAGCCAGAUUGGAUUUCCCUCCACUACUUCCCCAAUUGCAGAACAGUAGAUCACCCUGUAUUCCUCUGUAGAGACAGUUACUGCCACCCAUCCAGGAAGAUAAAGCUGCCUCAUCUCCUGUGAUGGGGUGCACAUGACCUUUGCAGCUUUCUACAGGAGGCCCCACUGUCCACCUACACCCUGCCCCUGGAAGAAUCAAUGUUGGAGGAAUAGCAAAGUGAAGAUGGGUCUUCUACACCUGCCUAGAAAAGUAUCUCUGGAGAAGCCAUAUUGGAAAUUACAGACACCUGGUCCUGGAAAGGCUAGUGGCAGCCAGUCAGAACCCAGCAGGCUCAGCUAAAAGUUGCUGUAGCUCAGUUGGUGGCUGUGACCACAAGAGUAGAGGGUGAGCCACUGAAAACCUGCCAAGUGAGGUCAACAACCUAAAAGAGUUCCAGGAGUGGGGAAAAGUCUGAAAUACUGCACCCAGCUGCAAGGAGGCACUCAAGAGAGCGGUGAAAAACCAAGACCAGAACCCCAUUAUGUCAGAGAUGGUUUCUCCCCAAAAAGAGCUCACAAUUUAAAGAGAGAAGACAAAAGAUUGGCUAAGAAGACAGGAGGGGAGAACUGGGACUGUCUAAGCAAGGAGACUGAGG